ACAACAACAACAACAACAACAAAAACAACAACAACAACAACAAAAGCCUAUCCUAAACUGAGCAGCAAGGACGUGUCUCAACCAAUGCUGCCGCCUCCAAGAAGAACAUCUUCAUCUUGACUUUCCUUGUUGACGCGCCAUCCUAAAGGAGGUGGAUGGCGUAAUUUCGUCCGUCCCGAGAAAGGCAUCGUCUUGGACACGCUAGCCAUGGUGUGCAUAUCGCCCCUGCAGAACAAUCUUGGAUAGCAGCGAGCGCCGGAGGAAAGCAACUUAGGACCUCCAAGCCGUGUCUCCAAACAUGAUACUCUCAACAGAGGGACAAUGUCAAGGACGCCGCUAUCGCGCCGAUCCAACUCCAAACCUAGGCUUUUACCUGGAGACAUCAACCAAACCGGAAUGAAGCGAGUACGGUGUUAACACACCUCAGCGACGCCUCCAAGGAGGGGAACAACACCCACGGACGCCGUCGUCACCGGCUCUGACCGAAGACGGGCAAAGACUUUCGUCUGUGUCGCACACCAUCCUCCUCGCCCAUCGAAAUGGGACCACUGUCCAUGUUGUUCACACCGCCGCCGCCACUCCCCCCUCCAAGCUCCGGAUCCUCCGCCAGCCAGCACGCUGCUCCACCACGACCCUCCUCUCACCGCCCGCCGCCUCUCAGCACUGUCACCGCACGCCGCCCAAUGAAGCCUCCUCUACGCAAAGUCAGCGCCACCGGGUGCGCUCUCCUCCCCGCCGCCUUUGGCGGCCAGGGGGCCGCCACCACCACCAGGGCCGGCGGUGUCAACGGCAGCGGCGGGUGGAUCUGGGGUAGGGUUUGCUAGCUAGGGUUUUGUCCCCCCGGGGUCGCCCGCGCGUGCGACCUGGGAGGGGUAGCAACAUGAUGGGAAAGAGGCAACUGCCACAGGGACAUGUUUAUCAUUUUCUUUGUUUUGCCAAGGUCUUCUCUGUAAAGGGAGACAUCUAUAUUUGUUUCUGAAUGAUAUGCUUUAAUCACAUGCCUUCUUCUCUUCUUUAGGAAAAUCAGAGGUCCAUCAGUUUAUGUAUAUAGUGGGUGAUAUUUUUGGUAACUUAACUUGAGCAACCUAAUUUUGAAACAUAAUUUGAGAGACAUAAAUACAAACGAUGUUAAGAUCAAGGGCUUACCUGUGAGUUCAGAACCAGCAAUCAGUUGAUUGUUAAUAGUCAAUAUGUAAUGUUUUUCUUUUCCUUCCUUGUGAAGGUAUGCGAUGAUCGGCAUUCUGAGCUAAUCCCCUGCUUGGAUAGGAAUUUGAUUAUCAGAUAAGGUUGAAGAUGGAUUUAAAACUGAUGGAGCAUCAUGAGCAUCAUUGCCCUACUUAUGAGAGACGCUUUAAUUGCCUGAUUCCACCGCCACAAGGCUAUAAGACGGCAUGGACCGAGACCAAGUUUUUUUCUUGAUUUUCAUAAGGCAAGGACCAGGACCAAAGCAAACUUCCUGAAUCUAAAAGGAACUAUAACCCGAGAAGACUAUAUAACAAUAAUGUGCUUGUACAAAUUAUAAAAUAGAUCGAGGGUUUCUGCUUACACCACGCUUGCCAUUAAACUCCAAGAUAGUUUUUUAGUAGAGAGUAAAGAUCAUUUGUGUAUUAAUCUUGGUACCCUUUCAGUUUUGUAGAUCUCAUGCAUGAAUGAAUGGAGGGGGGCGGCGCAUAAGGUCUGCCAGGAGGCGUUAAUGGAUAGCACAUCAUUGGCUGUGUGUUCAAGCGAGACGUAUGAAUUGUGUAUAAAUUUCAUAUAAUACCUAUCUCCGACUGUGACUUGGAUGGUCCGCAAUGAUCUCGUUGGCGUCUCUUCAAGGGUCAAUGAAUCUUGGCCAUCGAGAUUGUCGGCGGCAAAGGGAUCGGCAGGGGCGUGGUUUUCGUCCUGCUCCUCUUAUCGAGUCGAUCUGUCGAGGCAGCGCUGGGAUUGGCGGCGGAGGCGGCUAUGCGAGUGCGAGGGCGGCGGCGAAGGGACUGCGGCGGCGGCGAGGGCGGCUUGAUGCGUUGUGGUUCUCGCUCGAGGGAUCUGCUGAUGCGAGUGCGUUCAAGUAGUGGAUUUUUGUUUUUUUGCUGGUUUUUGUGGGAGCGGACUACCUGAGGCAUCGUUCCCUCGUUCGAUGUUGUGGCAUUCGUUGGUUUUUUUU